rnacentral:lncRNA from 1 species
GAUGCUAUAAUAUAUGGUACUUUGGCCGGUUCUCUCAUCUAAGGUCUCAAGACGAACACCAUUGUUCUGAGACACAAUCUUCUUUUCCUUUGCAGCAGUAUAAAAUAGAUAUCCAUUAAUAUCAUAACCUUGCCAUGACGUGACCUGGCUAGACGGGCUAGCUGCCAAUCUUUUGAUCAUUUGAUCUUCCAUGGUUUCCCCAUCUAGUUGAUUUAGGUCCUUUAACCAUGCGGUCAAAUGACACUUGUGCUCCCUCGUGAUCCAAUCUUCCGAGCGGCCCUUACUUUGAGCACGAAUCACACUCAAGUGUUGACAGACUAAAGAUGACAUUAUUGUGAGGUAUUGCAUGAUGCUAUAAUGGGCUUAUUGCACAUCUUUGAAGUCCUUGUCGAUGAAGGUUUUCCUUCCUACUAUGCCGAUCCCUUCCAACUUCCCCAUAAAUUGUGCAAUAGGCAAACCAAUUCGUAGUUUACCCUUUAGGUAACCUAGACAAGACUCGAUGAUUUCCUCUAUAUUGUAUCCCUCUAUCAUGGAUCCCUCAGGAUAAGCACGAUUCAGAACGUACCGGUUAAGAACUGACAUGAAAUGCUCAUACGUCCACAUUUCGUGUCAGUAAAGUGGACCCAGUGUUCGUAUCUGAUCGACCAUGUGAAUCAUGAGAUGUUCUGUAAUAUCGAAAAAUCCCGAAGGGAAGCACAUCUCCAAAUGCACCAUAGACUCCCCAAUAAAUUCUUGGAGGUGUUUCAAUUCAUCUUCAUUGAUAACCUUUUGAGAAAUUUUGUUGAAGAAGUAACACAACCAAGUGAUAACCAUCUUCACAUAUACAGGCUUGAUCACUCUAAUUGCAAUUCGAAGGAACAACAUCAGCAUCACAUGAUAAUCAUGACAGUUGUAGCCGGAUAGCGAGAGAUCUUUCAUCAAGACUAGUUUCCUAAUGUUGAAUGAGAAUCGACUUAGUACUCUAAUCCCCCAUAACGACUGGCACACUACCUUCUUCUCAUCUAGUGUCAAGUUGUAGCUAGCUGGGGGUAGUUCAUAUAUUCCAUUCCCCUUAUUGAUAGGGUGAAGGUCUUG